rnacentral:rRNA from 1 species
UUUUAUGGAGAGUUUGAUCCUGGCUCAGAGUGAACGCUGGCGGCGUGCCUAAUACAUGCAAGUCGAACGAUGAAGCUUCUAGCUUGCUAGAAUGCUGAUUAGUGGCGCACGGGUGAGUAACGCAUAGGUCAUGUGCCUCUUAGUUUGGGAUAGCCAUUGGAAACGAUGAUUAAUACCAGAUACUCCCUACGGGGGAAAGAUUUAUCGCUAAGAGAUCAGCCUAUGUCCUAUCAGCUUGUUGGUAAGGUAAUGGCUUACCAAGGCUAUGACGGGUAUCCGGCCUGAGAGGGUGAACGGACACACUGGAACUGAGACACGGUCCAGACUCCUACGGGAGGCAGCAGUAGGGAAUAUUGCUCAAUGGGGGAAACCCUGAAGCAGCAACGCCGCGUGGAGGAUGAAGGUUUUAGGAUUGUAAACUCCUUUUGUUAGAGAAGAU